GUCGUUUUGUUGACUCAGUCUAUAUAAAAGCAAAAUAACAAUAAAAAUAUUAACCGAGAGGAAAAAAAAUGAACGAGCAAAUAAAAAAAGUACCGGCUAUUAAUUUUAAUGUCAAUGUUGGACGAGUUUAUAAAUGAUGAUAACAAGGGAAGCACGAGAAAUUAAAGUAAAUACGGAAUACACGGCAAAAAUGUUGGCUCGAAACCUAUCAAUUUUUAUUAUGCUGUCGACCAAACUUGAAACAGGAAGUGAAGCAUCCAAAAAUUUAUUAUGCUCUUGUAAAAAAUUAUUAUGCUGCAUCACAAUUAUUAUAGGGUAGAGGUACCAUUUGUGGGCACUGCUCCAUUUUUGGACAUUUAAUUCUUUAUUUUAAUUAAUGAAAAAGUGUAAAGUAAAAUUUUCAUUUUAAUAGUGGGAUAAAAGUAUCUUUAGAUAUAUUUAAAAAAUUCAUUAUGUUACACUGUAAAAAAUAUGGAGUGAAUUGGGAGUGAAAUAAAAUCCGAAUUCACUCCGGAUUCACUCCGCCACUCGGAGUUCCGGAGUUUUAAAAAAAAUCACUCCGCAUGCGGAGUGAAUUGGGAGUUUUUUUUUAGCGGAGUGAUUUCAGAGUGAUGCGGAUUUUAUUUCACUCCGAAUUCACUCCGGUCCGGAGUUUUAACAUUUAAAUUAAUUUAUAUUAAACUGUUAAACAGCGUGUGUGUGCGAGUGCGAGUGUCUGUGUGUGCGGGUAUCUGUGGAUGUGUGUGCGUGCGUGAGUGCGCCGUGCGAGUGUGCGUGUGUGUGUUUGGGUGUGUGCAUUUAUGUGAAUGUGUUCGUGUGUGUUUUCGGGUGUGUGCGUGUGCGUGUGCGUGUGUGUGCGUAUCGGUUGAUCAGUACUGUAAUACGCGAAGUUUUAUUUCGAUUUUACUUAGUGGAGUUAUGUUUUAUUAAUAAUAUCUUUAAAACUCCCCUCCGGAGUGAAUUUCACCCCGAGGAGAGUGAAUAAUUAAAAAUUAAUCCGCAUUCACUGCGCAAAUUUUUUACAGUGUACAAAUUUAGUUUUUGUAAAUUUAAAUUAUUUUCCGCGGGCUUUUGAUAAAAAAAAAAAUUCCGUUGACUCAGAAGUAGUUCCUAAAAAAACUUUUAUUUAAAAAAAAAAUUUACAUGAUAACUCAAAUACUAAUCAACUAAUUUCAAUGCACAGAAUCUUGUUUGCCUCGUAAUUAGUUGCUCUACAUUCCGAACUACACUGAACUAAAAAAAAUACUUUUAACAACAAACUGUUUCUUGUUUCAAGAAUUUACUUUGCUCAUAAUUUUAAAAAAAAAUUUAUGUGACAAGAAUUUUCCGAUAUUAUUUCAACAAAAAAUCAUCAUUUUUGAAUUUAAAAUUUUGUCUAAAAAAUUUUUCCUCAUAACCCAUAUGAAAAAAGUAUAUCCAUAUAUAUAUGGGCAAAACGGAAUAUAUGUCUCAUAUAUGUGGCAUAUAUUCAAAUUUGUCCGAAUAUAUACGGACAUAUAUUUUUUCCGUGCGGGAACCAAAAGCUUAUCACAAUAAAUUCCAACUUAUUACUCAUUGACGUCAAUGUCAAACGACAUUAGCGAUCACUAUCACUAUCACUAACUACUUAUCAAUUUUUGACAUUGAUAAUAACCUACGCCUGUCCGAAAAAUUUAACUAUCGAAAUUUGUUACAAAAAAAUUACUCAAUAAAAAUUAAAAUUUAUGAAAUUCUCUCGAAUGUAAAAAUAUAAAUAACGCAAUCGAUGUUAAUAAAAAUGUAUGAACAAUAAUAAUCAUAUUCAAGUUACAUAAAUAUUCAUACA